rnacentral:rRNA from 1 species
UACAUAAAUUUUCUUGAAUAAUAAAUAUUAUUAAAUUUUGUGAUUAAUGGCAUAAAUAAAAUAUUAUUGUUUAAAGUAAAUAAAAUUGAAUUAUUUAGAGUGAUUAAAGUGAAAAGUAUAAAAAUAGAAUUAUUUAUAAUAAAAUAAAGAUAAAAUUAAUAUUUGUACCUUUUGUAUCAGGGUUUAAAUAAAAAUUUUUAUAUAAAAGCUUCUCGAAAAAUUAAGAUUUAAUUUUAAAUAAUUAUUAAUGUAGCAAAAUUAAUAUUGAAUUUAAAAUUGGGAAUGAAAAGUUAGUCGUUUAAUUAGGAUUCUAGUUUUUAGAUAAAUUAAUUAAAUUAAAUUUUUGGUGGAUACUUAUUUUAAAGGUAAAAAGACAGCACCAAAAUUUAAAUUAUAAAAAGUUUAGUUUUUAUAAUUGUUAUAUUUUAAGUUAAAAGAUUUUUUCUAGAUUUAUUAUUGUUUAAGAAAAAUAAUUUUUUAUAAAAAUUAAUCUUUAAAAUUUUAUUUAUUAAGUAAAUUAAAUUUGUAUCUAAAGUUUUAGUUUAUUAGAAUAGCUGAAGUUAUAAUUUUAAAAUUAGUAAAUUUAUAAGUAUAUAUAUAAUAACUCGGCAAAAUUAAUUUUCGCCUGUUUAUCAAAAACAUGUCUUUAAGGAUAGUAUUUAAAGUCCAAUCUGCUCACUGAAAUUUAAAGAGCCGCAGUAUUUUGACUGUGCAAAGGUAGCAUAAUCAAUAGUUUUUUAAUUGAAAACUGGAAUGAAAGAUUAGAUGAAAAAUUAACUUUUUUUGUAUUAAUAAAUUGAAUUUAAAAUUUAAGUUAAAAUUCUUAAAUAAAUUUAAAAGACGAGAAGACCCUAUAGAUUUUUAUUAUUGAAUGGAGGUUUAAUAAAUAAUAUUUUAUUCAUUAAUUUGAUUGGGGUGAUGUUGUAAUAUAAAAAACUUAAAUUUUUAAAACCAUAAAUGAUUGAAUUUUUUGAUCUAAAUUUUUUAAUAGAAAGAUUAAAUUACCUUAGGGAUAACAGCGUAAUUUUAUUUAAGAGUUCAUAUCUAUAAUAAAGAUUGCGACCUCGAUGUUGAAUUAAGAAAUAUAUUGAAGCAGAAAUUAAUGUAAAUUAGUCUGUUCGACUAUUAAAUUCUUACAUGAUUUGAGUUCAGACCGGCGUGAGCCAGGUCAGUUUCUAUCUUUAAAAUAUUUUUGUAAGUGGGUACGAAAGGACAAUUUAUUAAUAAAAUUUAUUUUUCUUUU